rnacentral:rRNA from 1 species
GCUAAAAAUCUAGCCUUACUUUCUCAAAUGACUCUUAAACUAAACCCAUAAGCAUAAACCAUUUUCUUUAUUUAGUAAAGGCGAUUGAAAAAUUAAUUAGAGCUAUAAUAAUAGUACCGCAAGGAAAAGAUGAAAUAAAUAUGAAAUAGACUUCAAGCGUGAAAAAGCAGAGGCUUAUCCUCGUACCUUUUGCAUCAUGAUUUAACUAGUCCAAUCAAGCAUAAGGAACUUUAGUUUGACUUCCCGAAACUAGGCGAGCUACUUCGAGGCAGCUUAAUGAGCCCACCCGUCUCUGUUGCAAAAGAGUGGGAAGACCCCCAAGUAGCGGUGAUAGACCUAACGAGCCUAGUGAUAGCUGGUUGCUUAAGAAAAGGAUUUUAGUCCUACCUAAAACAUUAUAACUACUUAUAAACACGACCAAUGCUUUAGAGCCACUCAAAUGAGGUACAGCCCGUUUGAAACAAGGAUACAACCUAUUCUAAUGGGUAAUUUACAAAAUAUAUUUAAAUAAGUGGGCCUAAAAGCAGCCACCUUUAAAAUAGCGUCACAGCUUCCCUAUACAACACACUAAUUUCAUUUUAUACCAAAAACCCUUUACACGUAUUAAGUUACUUUAUACACAUAUAAAAAUAUUUAUGUUAGAACUAGUAAUAAGAAGGCAGUCCUUCUCUUAGAUGUAAGUGUAAAACAGUAAGGACUAACCGCUGCUAAUUAUUCACUUAUGAGCCCAAAACAGCAACCUCACCAGAAAACCCUGUUUUUAUUAAUGUUAACCUAACACUAGUACAUCCCAAGAAAGAUUAAAAGAAAAAGAAGGAACUCGGCAAAUAUUAACCUCGCCUGUUUACCAAAAACAUCGCCUCUCGAUUUAUAUGAGAGGUCCCGCCUGCCCAGUGAUUUAAUUCAACGGCCGCGGUAUCCUAACCGUGCGAAGGUAGCGUAAUCACUUGUUCUUUAAAUAAGGACUAGUAUGAACGGCACCACGAGGGGUAUACUGUCUCCUUUUUUCAAUCAAUGAAACUGAUCUUCCCGUGAAGAAGCGGGAAUGUAAGUAUAAGACGAGAAGACCCUAUGGAGCUUUAAACAAUUAUGGCACUGGCCACUACUUUUUACCCUCCUGAGAUAUAAUUAUUAUAUAGGCCAGCAUGACUAUUAGUUUUAGGUUGGGGUGACCGCGGAGCAAAAAUUAACCUCCACGUUGAACGGAGUUAUUCCUGAGCUAUAAGCUACAACUUUAAGCACCAAUAAACUGACAUCAAUUGACCCAACAUGUUGAGCAACGAACCAAGUUACCCUAGGGAUAACAGCGCAAUCCAUUUCAAGAGCCCCUAUCGACAAAUGGGUUUACGACCUCGAUGUUGGAUCAGGGUAUCCUGGUGGUGCAGCCGCUACUAAAGGUUCGUUUGUUCAACGAUUAAAACCCU